CUAAUACCGAAUGCCCUCAACGGAUCGCAUGGUCUGAUGAGGAAAAGGUUUCCGCUCCGGGAGGGCUCGCGGCCCAUCAGCUUGUGGUGGGGUAACGGCUACCAAAGCAACGACGGGUAGCUGGUCUGAGAGGACGAUCAGCCACACUGGGACUGAGACACGGCCCAGACUCCUACGGGAGGCAGCAGUAGGGAAUCUUGCGCAAUGGGCGAAAGCCUGACGCAGCAACGCCGCGUGGAGGAUGAAGGCCUUCGGGUUGUAAACUCCUUUCGGCAGGGACGAAAUUGACGGUACCUGCAGAAGAAGCCCCGGCCAACUACGUGCCAGCAGCCGCGGUAACACGUAGGGGGCGAGCGUUGUCCGGAUUCAUUGGGCGUAAAGAGCUCGUAGGCGGCUCGGUAAGUUGGAUGUGAAAUCUCCAGGCUCAACCUGGAGCGGCCAUCUGAUACUGCCGUGGCUGGAGUCCGGUAGGGGGUCGUGGAAUUCCCGGUGUAGCGGUGAAAUGCACAGAUAUCGGGAGGAACACCAGUGGCGAAGGCGGCGACCUGGGCCGGUACUGACGCUGAGGAGCGAAAGCGUGGGGAGCGAACA
rnacentral:rRNA from 1 species